GCUCGAUGUCCAAAAGCUGAAGAAGUCUCUUGACCUGUCCAGAUAUCAGGAGGAUGGACACGCAUGGAGAUGCGACUAUGCUGGUCGAUAGCAUCCAGCAUGGAUGUGCAAAUAUCCUGAAUGGCAUGGGAGGAUGUGGAUAUCGAAUCUGGAUGAGCAAGAUGAUGUAUCCUCGUCAAGCCAUCACUCUGACAUAGCAAAUAAUCAAUUGGUGUUCGAUAUAAAUAAAAGUAAUAAAAUUAAUAAGCGCACUAGAUAAUCG
rnacentral:lncRNA from 1 species